UGGGGAAUAUUGCACAAUGGGCGAAAGCCUGAUGCAGCGACGCCGCGUGCGGGAUGAAGGCCUUCGGGUUGUAAACCGCUUUCAGCAGGGACGAAGCGGAAGUGACGGUACCUGCAGAAGAAGCGCCGGCUAACUACGUGCCAGCAGCCGCGGUAACACGUAGGGCGCGAGCGUUGUCCGGAAUUAUUGGGCGUAAAGAGCUCGUAGGCGGUCUGUCACGUCUGCUGUGAAAACCCGGGGCUUAACCCCGAGCCUGCAGUGGAUACGGGCAGACUAGAGGUAGGUAGGGGAGAAUGGAAUUCCCGGUGUAGCGGUGAAAUGCGCAGAUAUCGGGAGGAACACCGGUGGCGAAGGCGGUUUCUUCUUGGGCCUUACCUGACGCUGAGGAGCGAAAGCGUGGGGAGCGAACA
rnacentral:rRNA from 1 species